rnacentral:rRNA from 1 species
UACGUAGGGUGCGAGCGUUGUCCGGAAUUAUUGGGCGUAAAGGGCUCGUAGGCGGUUUGUCGCGUCGGGAGUGAAAACCCAGGGCUUAACACUGGGCUGGCUUUCGAUACGGGCAGACUAGAGGUAUGCAGGGGAGAACGGAAUUCCUGGUGUAGCGGUGAAAUGCGCAGAUAUCAGGAGGAACACCGAUGGCGAAGGCAGGUCUCGUGGGCAUUAACUGACGCUGAGGAGCGAAAGCAUGGGAGCG